AGAGAACUGGAGUGGGGCCUCACAGAGGUACCUGGAGUGCAGGCUCCCGGGAAGGGGAACCAAGCCUUGCCUCUGAUUUCAGCAAGUGCUCACAGAGCAGGCCAUCUGGCGGCUCGCUGCCAGCCAAAUGCUACUGACCAAGGACUUCCAAACUGACCAGGCCCAGAACAAGAAAUUCUGUUUAGCAUCUGGAGAUCUAUGGCCAGGCUGGAUCCAAAUGGAUUCCAGUUUAGAGGGCUGUCCACUCCUUGGCAAAGUCCUGUUUUCUUAACCCUCUCUUCCCUUUUGAACCAGUGAUCUAAGGGACUCCUCCUCAAGUCUUCUCUAAUCCCUCGUAGCCCCACUAACAGCCAUCACAGUCAGACACCCUCCUCAGAGAGCCAUUUCUCCUCCUUGGUCUUUCUCUUCUAAUUUCCACUCCUGAUAUCUAGCUAGCUACUUCUUCUAAACAUGUCAAGGGACCUAGUUUCCAGUUCUGCUCUGGCUCUUACUCAGUGGCUUCUAGUAAUUUCCAGCCCUUCUCUGUGCCUCAGUUGCCCCAUUUGUAAAAUGGGGCCCCAAAAGGUUCCUUUCGGCUCUGACAUUCUAGGAUCCAAAGUACAGAGAUUAAGCCACAAGAAUCCCUACCAGAAGGUAGGGGAUCCAGCCUGGACCACAACCCCAGGGCUUGACAGUUUCCUGCCCAGCACUGCCUGCCCGCCUUCCUAGCUGUGUGGCCAUAGCCAAGUUUCUGUUGAAUGGACAGAGGGUAAGAUGUUAGGAUUAAAAAGUCAAAGUGGGCCAGACGUGGUAGCUCACGCCUGUAAUCCCAGCAUUUUGUGAAGCCAAGGUGGGUGGAUUGCUUGAGGCCAGGAGUUCAAGACCAGCCUGGGCAACAUGGCAAAACACCAUCUCUACUAAAAAUAUAAAAGUUAGCUGGGCUUGGUGGUGUAUGCCUGUGGUCCCAGCUACUCAGGAGGCUGAGGCACAAGAAUCACUUGAACCUGGGAGGCGGAGGCUGCAGUGAGCAGAGAUCGCACCACUGCACUUCAAGCCUGGGUGACAGAGCGAGACCCUGUCUAAAAAAAAAAAAAGGCAAGCUAGCCAACACAGUGCUUUCUAACGCUAGCAGGAGUGCAUUAAGAGGAAGCCGUUAUGAAUUUAGAAGGACAAGAAGACAGAAAGUCUGAAGAAAAAACAAGUAGCCAAAGAACAAUCCAUUCGACAAAUAUUAGGAGCAUCUCCUAUGUGUACUGAGGUUACAAACAUGGAUAUGCAGCUCCAGAACUCAGAACUCAAGGUGCUUAAGAUGGAGGAGACAGAUUUGUCAACAAAUGUCGCUACACCCUUCUGACUGUUCCCUGGCAUCUGUGGCCAUUGUAUACAGUUGUGUAGGUUGUUCACUGCACGAGGGUGCUGGCUCGGGCAUAGAGGGGGUGAAAUUCAGGUCAGGUCCCUUUCCUAAGCAUGGGCCUAUGGGGCUGCAUCUUCCCAGAGGGGCACCUUUUCCUAAUUCUUACAAAUGUGCUGUGUGGGCUGGCCUAGCCCCUGCAGCAUUCACAUUACCUUGUUCUGACCCAGUCAGCUCCCACCAACAAAAGCACUCAUUUUAGGUAUAAGUUACUCGCCCCUGCACACACACCUAUUACCUCGUGAGCACUCCAUCAUCCUUAACUUGGCCUUCAAGCUCCUUUGCGAACUGCCCCCAGCUCCUUCUCUGCCA
rnacentral:lncRNA from 10 species